AUUGUACAAUCCCACAAAGGCCGCCGCCAUAGUUAGUAAUGCUGCCAUGGCAACCAGGAAACACUCCAGUGUGUGUGCGAGAGGGAGGGAGUCUGGAUGAGGUGUUUGAGUCUCUCACACUCAGUGCUUUAAUAUUAGAAAUAAACACUGAAAAAUAAUCAGCACAAAUAAUAGACCAGAUGAACUUAGGGGUUUUCUCCAGGUGGUCAACUGGAUAACAAGCUUUCUCUGUGUUAAUGUGGCUAAUUUUGGGUCAUGGCAUCCACUGGUGUCACUAGUCACCUGCCUCCAGUCAAGAGUGUGAAGGUCUACAGAAAUGGAGACCCCUUCUUUUCAGGAAGGAGAUUUGUGGUAAACCAGAGGCAAAUCUCCACCAUGGAUGCAUUUCUUAAUGACAUCACUCUCAGUAUCGGAGCUCCGUUAGCUGUUCGAACUCUUUAUACGCCACACUACGGUCAUCGGGUCACAGACCUUAGUGACCUACAGCAAGGGGCACAGUAUGUGGCCGCAGGGUUUGAGCGCUUUAAGAAACUAGAUUAUCUGACUUCAGGACUGAAGAAAGGUCCACUGUGCAGAGCUGUGGAACCGGCCCAGG